CAGGAUAUUGCUUACAAUGUAAUCCGGGCUAUAAGGGUAGACAUUGCGAACAACAAUGUAAUAUGAGAAAAUAUGGAGAGUACUGUAAUCAGGAUUGUGGCGUUUGUCUGGAUUACAAACAAUGUGAUCACAUAAAUGGAACAUGCCCAGAUGGGUGUGAUAGAGGAUACUUUGGCCAACUCUGUAUAACAGGGUGUGUUCCAGGAAAGUAUG